CCCAGUUUUCCUAUGAUUUCCCUACCGAAUAUUUAGAGAGAGUGAAGACCAUGCACCAGACAGGAGGACAUGGAUCAAUAGGUUAUCAAUAUGACUGGAAGUUAGAGGAUGCUCAGAAGAACAUUCUCUGGACUCACACUACUGCUGUUAGCACAAGAAUGCUCUACAAACUUGGAUAGCAAAAGGAGUUCACUCCUGUCAAAUGUUUUUCGUAAUAAGACACUGACACAACUCACCUGACCAAGUUCCAUCAGAUGGAGGGUGUGGUCGCUGAUUAUAAUUUAACCCUUGGAGAUCUGAUUGGAGUCCUGUAUGCUUUUAUUAGUAAAAUGGGAGCAAUAUCUCGCAAACAAGUGUUCCUAUGC